rnacentral:rRNA from 1 species
AUUGAACGCUGGCGGCAGGCCUAACACAUGCAAGUCGAGCGGCUGAAGGGUGAUUGCUCCUGGAUUCAGCUGCGGACGGGCGAGUAAUGCCUAGGAACCUGCCUGUCAGUGGGGGCUAACGUCCGGAAACGGGCGCUAAUACCGCAUACGUCCUGAGGGAGAACGUGGGGGAUCAUCGGACCUCACGCCAUCAGAUGAGCCAAGGUCGGAUUAGCUAGUUGGCGGGGUAAAGGCCUACCAAGGCGACGAUCCGUAGCUGGUCUGAGAGGAUGAUCAGUCACACUGGAACUGAGACACGGUCCAGACUCCUACGGGAGGCAGCAGUGGGGAAUAUUGGACAAUGGGCGAAAGCCUGAUCCAGCCAUGCCGCGUGUGUGAAGAAGGUCUUCGGAUUGUAAAGCACUUUAAGUUGGGAAGAAAGGCAGUAAGUUAAUACCUUGCUGUUUUGACGGUACCAACAGAAUAAGCACCGGCUAACUUCGUG